rnacentral:rRNA from 1 species
GGAUGAACGCUAGCGGCAGGCCUAAUACAUGCAAGUCGGACGGGAUUCAGGAGCUUGCUUCUGAUGAGAGUGGCGCACGGGUGCGUAACACGUAUGUAACCUACCUUUAUCAGGGGGAUAGCCUCUCGAAAGAGAGAUUAAGCCCGCAUAAAAUCACAGCACAGCAUUGUGUAAUGAUCAAAUAUUUAUAGGAUAAAGAUGGGCAUGCGGAACAUUAGCUAGAUGGCGGGGUAACGGCCCACCAUGGCGACGAUGUUUAGGGGAUCUGAGAGGAUGGCCCCCCACACUGGUACUGAGACACGGACCAGACUCCUACGGGAGGCAGCAGUAAGGAAUAUUGGUCAAUGGGCGGAAGCCUGAACCAGCCAUGCCGCGUGCAGGAAGACGGCCCUACGGGUUGUAAACUGCUUUUAUACGGGAAUAAACCCAGAUACGUGUAUCUGGCUGAAUGUACUGUAAGAAUAAGGAUCGGCUAACUCCGUG